CUUUCUCUUUCAGGUAUACAUCUGGAAAAGAUCUGUGGACCAUGUGGUUGGACCUUUUUGUACCCAGGAGGAGGGGCUAAGAGGGAAGAUGGUCAAGCAGCAGCUUCAGAAGAUCCUCAGUGAAGUAGACUUAUGUGGACCCCUUUCAGUCUGGAUUCAGGCCUGGUUACAGGACCAAAAUGUCAUUGGGGGCACAUUUGGAUGGGGGAAGGGGUAGUUUGUCCAUUCUUGCUCUUUCUUGACUUCUCAGCAACUUUCAAUACCUUUAAACAUGGUAGUUUUCUGGAUGGGCUCCAGAGGUUGGAUGUGGGCAGUACUGUAUUGUGCUGGUUCUCGUCCUUUGGGACCAGUUCCAGUCAGUGUGUCGGGAUGGGGGGGAGAGAGUGCCACAUUUGAUCCCUGAUUUGCAGAGUGCCUCAGGGUUCAAUGCUUUCUCUACUUCUUCUACCCUGGAGCAAUGAACGUAUAAAUGAAGCCACUGGGCGAGGUUAUCCAUCUGCACAAGAUGACUUUUCUGUCUCCCAGGCUUCCCUUUUUAGAGAAGUUUAUAGAGAAAAUAGUGGUGCUCUAGCUUCAAUGUACCCAAGAGAAAGUGGAUUAUUUAAUUUAAAUCUUGUUGCUGGUAUCCUUAAGUUUUAUAUUGACUGUUUCCCUAUGACUGUCAUUAAGCGUUGUACCUUAUGAUUCUUGACGAAUGUAUCUAUUUUAUUCUAAACCCUUUUAAAAUCAAGAUUUAGGCAAUGGUACUGGAUAAAAAUUAUCUGAGUCACACUGAUGGAGGAUUUGUGUUGCACCUUCAGGUCAUUUUCAGGCUUUUGAAAUAAUGAAUGUGCUGGUUCAACAAGAAUUCAAGUCUAUAUUGUAUUCAUCAAGAUUUAAGGAACUAGACAGGAGAUGAAAGGCAAAACAAAAAAUCUAAAAAGAACACUGAUCCGUUCUUUUCAAUCAAAAAAUGCACUUCCUCAUACACACAGAACAGAAUCAGAAUCAGAAACAGCAAAGCAUAACAAAGGCACAAUUUUCUAUAAAAGCAAAAUUCCAAUCUAAUUUCCUAUAAUCUGGGAGUUGCUGUACUUUUUGCUAGAUUUUUGAGGAUUGGAACACUGUUGCACAAAUCCUAAAUCUGAAUUAGAAUUGGGGCUUAGAAUUAUGUACUAGUGACCCUUCUGACUGAUAAUGCAUUAGUUUUCCCUGCAAGAUUAAAGUGUCAGAUUUGUUGUUUUAGAAAUGGCUAGUUUAAACUAUUAUGUAAAAGUAAAAAGUUUAGGUUUGAUGUUAAUGCCUUAUUCUACUGCACCAAAGGGAAUCAGGAAUCAAUGCCUUUUCUUUCUUUUCCCCCUUCUUUUCCUCACUUUUUCCUUCUCUAUUCUUCCUACUAAUUUGCUUUUGUAUUUUCUUGUAUGUUAUAACAUAAAUUAAUAAAACUGUUAAAUCA